AUGGGGCUGACUGCCUAUGGGAACCGCAGGGUCCAGCCUGGGGAGCUGCCAUUCGGGGCUAACUUGACUCUCAUCCAUACAAGAGCCCAGCCUGUGAUUUGUAGCAAGCUUCUCUUGACAAAGAGAGUGAGUCCCAUCUCUUUCUUCUUGUCCAAAUUUCAAAAUUCCUGGGGUGAGGAUGGAUGGGUUCAGUUGGAUCAACUGCCAUCCCCUAAUGCAGUCAGCUCUGACCAAGUACACUGUUCAGCUGGCUGCACACACAGGAAAUGUGGAUGGGCUGCAAGCAAAAGCAAGGAGAAGGUGCCUGCCAGGCCACACGGUGUAUGCGAUGGUGUCUGUACAGACUACUCCCAGUGUACUCAACCUUGCCCUCCAGACACUCAGGGAAAUAUGGGGUUUUCAUGCAGGCAAAAGACAUGGCACAAGAUCACUGACACCUGCCAGACUCUUAAUGCCCUCAACAUCUUUGAGGAGGAUUCACGUUUGGUUCAGCCAUUUGAAGACAAUAUAAAAAUAAGUGUAUAUACUGGAAAGUCUGAGACCAUAACAGAUAUGUUGCUACAAAAGUGUCCCACAGAUCUGUCUUGUGUAAUUAGAAACAUUCAGCAGUCUCCCUGGAUACCAGGAAACAUUGCCGUAAUUGUGCAGCUCUUACACAACAUAUCAACAGCAAUAUGGACAGGUGUUGAUGAGGCAAAGAUGCAGAGUUACAGCACCAUAGCCAACCACAUUCUUAACAGCAAAAGCAUCUCCAACUGGACUUUCAUUCCUGACAGAAACAGCAGCUAUAUCCUGCUACAUUCAGUCAACUCCUUUGCAAGAAGGCUAUUCAUAGAUAAACAUCCUGUUGACAUAUCAGAUGUCUUCAUUCAUACUAUGGGCACCACCAUAUCUGGAGAUAACAUUGGAAAAAAUUUCACUUUUUCUAUGAGAAUUAAUGAUACCAGCAAUGAAGUCACUGGGAGAGUGUUGAUCAGCAGAGAUGAACUUCGGAAGGUGCCUUCCCCUUCUCAGGUCAUCAGCAUUGCAUUUCCAACUAUUGGGGCUAUUUUGGAAGCCAGUCUUUUGGAAAAUGUUACUGUAAAUGGGCUUGUCCUGUCUGCCAUUUUGCCCAAGGAACUUAAAAGAAUCUCACUGAUUUUUGAAAAGAUCAGCAAGUCAGAGGAGAGGAGGACACAGUGUGUUGGCUGGCACUCUGUGGAGAACAGAUGGGACCAGCAGGCCUGCAAAAUGAUUCAAGAAAACUCCCAGCAAGCUGUUUGCAAAUGUAGGCCAAGCAAAUUGUUUACCUCUUUCUCAAUUCUUAUGUCACCUCACAUCUUAGAGAGUCUGAUUCUGACUUACAUCACAUAUGUAGGCCUGGGCAUUUCUAUUUGCAGCCUGAUCCUUUGCUUGUCCAUUGAGGUCCUAGUCUGGAGCCAAGUGACAAAGACAGAGAUCACCUAUUUACGCCAUGUGUGCAUUGUUAACAUUGCAGCCACUUUGCUGAUGGCAGAUGUGUGGUUCAUUGUGGCUUCCUUUCUUAGUGGCCCAAUAACACACCACAAGGGAUGUGUGGCAGCCACAUUUUUUGUUCAUUUCUUUUACCUUUCUGUAUUUUUCUGGAUGCUUGCCAAGGCACUCCUUAUCCUCUAUGGAAUCAUGAUUGUUUUCCAUACCUUGCCCAAGUCAGUCCUGGUGGCAUCUCUGUUUUCAGUGGGCUAUGGAUGCCCUUUGGCCAUUGCUGCCAUCACUGUUGCUGCCACUGAACCUGGCAAAGGCUAUCUACGACCUGAGAUCUGCUGGCUCAACUGGGACAUGACCAAAGCCCUCCUGGCCUUCGUGAUCCCAGCUUUGGCCAUCGUGGUAGUAAACCUGAUCACAGUCACACUGGUGAUUGUCAAGACCCAGCGAGCUGCCAUUGGCAAUUCCAUGUUCCAGGAAGUGAGAGCCAUUGUGAGAAUCAGCAAGAACAUCGCCAUCCUCACACCACUUCUGGGACUGACCUGGGGAUUUGGAGUAGCCACUGUCAUCGAUGACAGAUCCCUGGCCUUCCACAUUAUCUUCUCCCUGCUCAAUGCAUUCCAGGUAAGUCCAGAUGCUUCUGACCAAGUGCAAAGUGAGAGAAUUCAUGAAGAUGUUCUGUGA
ensembl:lncRNA novel transcript